ACACAUUUAAAGUCUGUUGGAUUGAGGCACUGGAAAUUGAAAGUAAAUGUACCCUGCAUGUUAGCUGCAAGCCACUCUCUACUGAUGUGACAAUCUUCUACUCUAGCCUUACAUACUUUAAGAAAAAAGAUGACUAGAACUGGGACCAAGAUGCCUCUGUCCCCAAAGAAGAAUUAAAGUGAUAUGCACACAUUCAAGUUUGCAAGGACUCUUUGACCCUGGAAUCUAGAACCCUGUAGGAACAGUUCCUCUGUACAUCCCCUUGGAUAAAAUGAUCAAAAUAUGAGAAGGAGAGACAAAGUGAGGUACCACGAGCAAACCACAUUAAUAAGGAGAGAAUAUUUGACUGAGCUGAUUUUGCUCCAUAUGCUUUUGGGUGUUUUUUAUGAAUUUUCCUAAUUCUCCAGUGCGUCGCUACAGCAGUCUAUGUGAAUGACGUUGAUGUCUUAGGGGGAAAUACUUCCCAUUGAGAUACCUUUGAUUUACACAUAACCGAAGUAAGCAGA
rnacentral:lncRNA from 1 species